rnacentral:rRNA from 1 species
AUGGUAUGCAAGGAGGCAGGCGAUACACGAAGGAAUCUUUCAACCACCGAUGCAGACCCAUUCUUUUGUGGAGUCCUAUCUUCGCGAGCUGGAACAAGUCAGGGAAAAACAACCCCUCGGGUUUCUGCUACACCUAGGAGGGAAGACGAACGAAGAUGGAUAGCCUCACCACCUGGGUUGGUGAAGUUCAACGUCGGCGGAGCGGUGGCAAGGCGCAGCCAUGGCGGGGUUGUUGCCGUAGUUUGCCGAGACCACACGGGUCUAUAUCUAGGAUCAUCAGCGGUGGUUUAUAAUGGAGUUUUUGAUUCGACCAUCUUGGAAACUUAUGCGUGCAGGGAGGCUCUGGCACUUGCUAGUGAUCUGCAAGUGUCACAUAUGAUAAUAGCAUUGGAUUGCCAAGGUGUGGUCAAUGACCUCAACCAAGGAACAGGAGGACCGCACUCUACGAUCAUCCAGGAGAUUUUGGGGCGUAGAAAUAUGUUCACUUCUGUUUCUUUUGUUCAUGAGCGUAGAAACUUUAAUUUCGAGGCUCACAAUCUUGCCAAAUUAGCUUGUAAUCUUCAGUCUGGUAGACAUUUAUGGUUGGUCAACCCUUAUGACCAACGUAUUGUACCCAUGAACAUCACCGAUAAUCAAUAA